UUGUCUCUUGGAGUUCCUCUGAACGCUUCAUGUGAUUGGCUAGUUAUAGGCCUUUGAUGAAGUGUUUGGGGGAACUCUUAGGUUCAA
rfam:Glycine soja cultivar W05 scaffold3294_40, whole genome shotgun sequence.